GGACAGGAUGUAGCUCAGUGGUAGAGAAUCUACUUGCCAUGCAAAAAGUCCCAAGUUCAGUCCCUGGAAUCUCCA
rnacentral:tRNA from 1 species